rnacentral:lncRNA from 1 species
CCACCUGCAGGGCUCGGCCACCGCCGAGGAGCUGGCUUUUGUGCGCAAGGAAGUGGAGCUGCUGGAGCGUGAGCUGGCAGCGGGCCCGGGGCUGCUGGAGGACGGCGGGCUGGAUGCCUGCGAGGACUGCGUGGCCGCUGCCUUCGGACAACUGUGCAUGGCGGUGCGGGCGGCUCCCCCUGCCGCACCGCUGGAGACCGAGCUUUUCGCGCAGGGCUGCGUGCGGGACAAGCUGGAGCGCCGCCUGCUGGUCCUGUGGCGUCGCCUGCAGGGCAACGCAGUGCUUAGCCUGCAGCGCCCCCUGCUGGAGCAGGCCGUGCAGCGCCACCGCCCACGCCGCCCGCAGAUGGCGCUCUUCUGCCAGAAGCUGAAUGCCGUGCUGGGUGCUGGGCUGUUGUGCCUGCUCUGCCAGGCGGGGCUGGCCAAGCGCGACUCGGCGCUGCUGAUGGGCGUGUGGGACCCACGCGUGGCUGCGCUGCACAAGCGCAUGAAGGAGGCGCUGGGCCAGUGCAAGGGCUACUUCCACCAGCAAGCCCAGGAGGAUGUGGAGCGCGCCCUGGAGCAGGCGGUGCCCCCCGACCCGGCCGAGCUAGCCACCUCGCUCCUGCGCCAGCUGGAGCAGAACUACGACUGGCUCUGCUGGGCCGUCAUGGCCUGGUGGGAAGAGGGCGAGGUGGAGGGUGAGGCGGGCAGCGGGGAGGUGCUGGCCCAGGGCAGUUUCGUGUCGGCUCGCACUGCCGCGGGGCUCCACCUGGUGGCCUGCUACCAGGAGAGCCCUUUGGCCCUGGACAGGGCUCGCACCAACCAGCUGAUCGGCGAGCUGGAGUGGAAGCUGCCCAACCCGCCGCCCGAGGUCUACGCCAGCCUGGAGGCCGAGCCGGCCCGCGCCCGCGGCUACCUGGCCCGCCGCAUGCUGCAGAAGCUGGCUGAAGGACUGGGGCCCGGAGUCACCCUGCUGGUGGUGCCGGGGAAGCUGGAAAUGAAGAGCAGCUUCCCGCUGGCCACCAGCCUCCUGCACGAAUACCACCACCGUCUGGCCUCGGGCACUGUCUGCAUUUUCGGCUAAGUCCACGAAGCCAACAGGCUCCUGCUGGCUAUGGCCAAGUUAAGCGGCCCGCAAUAAACGCCUCUUCUAUCAAA